UAUCGGAACGUACCCUAGAGUGGGGGAUAACGCAGCGAAAGUUGCGCUAAUACCGCAUACGAUCUACGGAGGAAAGCAGGGGCUUCGCAAGAACCUUGCGCUCAUGGAGCGGCCGAUAUCUGAUUAGCUAGUUGGUAGGGUAAAAGCCUACCAAGGCUACGAUCAGUAGCUGGUCUGAGAGGACGACCAGCCACACUGGGACUGAGACACGGCCCAG
rnacentral:rRNA from 1 species